UAUCGUAUGCGCGCGUCCGGUGCCGCCUAUGCGCGUAGUGCUCGCAUGCGGUUAAACGGGAAACAGGAAAGCGCGGUUGCAUGCUGCACGCGCCCAACCUGUGCUGUCCCCGCCAACGGUAAGCGGCCUGCGGACUCCAUGUCCGCGCAUGCGCUUCGAUGCCACUUUCGGCCGUCCGCCGAUGGGAAGGCGAAGCGCAUGAGGCCGUCAGCCCGGAUACCGGCCGGAUGCAAGGGGGCGAA
rnacentral:ncRNA from 2 species